UUUUGGACGAACUUUGGAAGAAAAUAUCUUAGGCUACGAUCAAAGAAAAGAAAGUAGACACAAUAAGGAGUUUGUGAAAGGAAAGUUGAAGUAAUUCAAGUACCGGAAGCUCAAGAAAAGAGGUGAUAAGGAGUUGGUCGAGGUCGGGAGAGGACUCUGAAGAAGGUGCCAUAGACUAACCUCACCUGUCGUCCUCAAUCCUUUUGUUUAAAGUGUUUUGUAUCUGUUCCUUAUUUUGUGU